rnacentral:rRNA from 1 species
UCCUACGGGGGACAGCAGUAGGGAGUCUUCCACAAUGGGCGAAAGCCUGAUGGAGCAACGCAGCGUGGGUGAAGAAGGUCUUCGGAUCGUAAAACCCUGUUGUUAGAGAAGAAAGUGCGUGAGAGUAACUGUUCACGUUUCGACGGUAUCUAACCAGAAAGCCACGGCUAACUACGUGCCAGCAGCCGCGGUAAUACGUAGGUGGCAAGCGUUAUCCGGAUUUAUUGGGCGUAAAGGGAACGCAGGCGGCCUUUUAAGUCUGAUGUGAAAGCCUUCGGCUUAACCGGAGUAGCGCAUUGGAAGCU